UGGGGAAUAUUGCACAAUGGGGGAAACCCUGAUGCAGCGACGCCGCGUGAGUGAAGACGGCCUUCGGGUUGUAAAGCUCUGUUGAGGGGGACGAUAAUGACGGUACCCCUUUAGAAAGCCACGGCUAACUACGUGCCAGCAGCCGCGGUAAUACGUAGGUGGCGAGCGUUGUCCGGAAUUACUGGGUGUAAAGGGAGCGUAGGCGGGGGUUUAAGUUGGAUGUGAAAUACCGCAGCUCAACUGCGGGGCUGCAUCCAAAACUGGACUUCUUGAGUGAAGUAGAGGCAAGCGGAAUUCCUAGUGUAGCGGUGAAAUGCGUAGAUAUUAGGAGGAACACCAGUGGCGAAGGCGGCUUGCUGGGCUUUUACUGACGCUGAGGCUCGAAAGCGUGGGGAGCAAACAGG
rnacentral:rRNA from 1 species